AUGGAAAGAAGCAGAAUUGCAAAACCAGUCCAGCAUCACAAUUACGCACAAACAAAUCACAAGUCAAAAUUCAAGUUCAUCCCAACAACAACAAAGCAAUGUAUCAGUAAAUACAAAGCAGCAAACAUAAAUCAUGUCAACAUAACAAAAUUUGAAGUAACAUAUCUGAAAAUGCUUAAGCCCAAUACAAAUUCGUUCCAGGCCUGUUAUCAAAGUUCGGAGCAACACAACAGCAAAACCCUAAUACUAUCUCACUAUAAAAGCAAUCAUUGCACAAAAAUCAAAGAGGAGGCCACUAUUCACACAAAAACCCUAAACGGCUGCAAGAAGCUUUCAAGGAUAAAACCCUAA